UACGGAGGGGGUUAGCGUUGUUCGGAAUUACUGGGCGUAAAGCGCGCGUAGGCGGAUUAGAAAGUUGGGGUGAAAUCCCGGGGCUCAACCUCGGAACUGCCUCCAAAACUGCUAGUCUAGAGUUCGAGAGAGGUGAGUGGAAUUCCGAGUGUAGAGGUGAAAUUCGUAGAUAUUCGGAGGAACACCAGUGGCGAAGGCGGCUCACUGGCUCGAUACUGACGCUGAGGUGCGAAAGUGUGGGGAGCAAACAGG
rnacentral:rRNA from 1 species